AUGGCGGCCCCCAGAGACUGGCUGGGAGCAGUGGAGGAAGAGAACUCGGGUCGUCAGGGGAGCUCGGGAGUGGAGGUGGUUUUUCCUUCCGACCCUGCCACACCUGCCCCGCUGUGCCCUCACGGACCCACGCUUCUGUUUGUAAAGGUGAACCAAGGGAAAGAAGAAACACGGAGGUUUUAUGCCUGCUCAGCCUGUAGAGAUAGAAAAGACUGUAAUUUUUUUCAAUGGGAAGAUGAAAAGUUGUCAGAAGCUAGACUUGCUGCCCGAGAAGCUCAUAACCGAAGGUGUCAGCCUCCUCUUUCCCGAACGCAGUGUGCAGAAAGGUACCUGAAGUUUAUAGAGUUGCCCUUGCCUCAGAGAAAGUUCUGUCAAAGAUGCCAGCAGUUGCUACUGCCAGACGACUGGGAGAAGCACCGUGAGCAUCGGGUGGUGGGCGACAUCUCCGUCGGCCAGCUCAGAAGGCCCAGCCUGCUUCUCUAUCCGUUGGAGAAUAAGAAGACCAAUGCUCAGUAUCUGUUUGCGGAGCGCACCUGCCACUUCUUGGUGGACCUGCUUUCUACCCUCGGCUUCACAAGAGUCCUGUGCGUAGGAACACCCAGGUUGCAUGAGCUGAUCAGGUUGAAAGCGUCAGGUGACCAGAAGUCUAACAUUAAAAGCCUUUUAUUGGAUAUUGAUUUUCGGUAUUCGCAGUUUUAUAUGGAAGACAGCUUUUGCCAUUAUAACAUGUUCAACCAUCACUUCUUUGACGGGAAGGCUGCCCUUGAAGUAUGCAGAACAUUUUUACAGGAAGAUAAAGGUGAGGGAGUCAUUAUGGUGACAGACCCUCCUUUCGGUGGCUUGGUUGAACCUCUGGCUGUUACAUUCAAGAAGUUAAUUGCUAUGUGGAAAGAAGGUCAAAGCCAAGAUAGCAGUCACAAAGAGCUCCCUGUAUUCUGGAUUUUCCCCUAUUUUUUUGAAUCCCGAAUUCGUCAGUUUUUUCCAAGCUUCUGCAUGCUGGAUUACCAGGUAGAUUAUGAUAAUCAUGCACUUUAUAAACAUGGAAAGACAGGCCGAAAACAGUCUCCUGUGCGUAUUUUCACCAAUAUUCCACCCAACAAAAUAAUCCUUCCUAGUGAAGAAGGGUACAGAUUUUGCCCUUUAUGUCAACGAUAUGUUUCCCUAGAGAAUCAACACUGUGAGCACUGUAAUUCUUGCACAUCCAAGGAUGGCAGGAAAUGGAACCAUUGCUUCCUCUGCAAAAAGUGUGUAAAACCUUCCUGGACCCACUGUAGCAUGUGUGGUCGCUGUGCUCUUCCAGACCAUUCCUGCGGGGCCCCUAAAGAUGGCUGCUUUAUUUGUGGUGAAUUAGAUCAUAAACGUAGUUCUUGUCCUAAGAUCGCUGCAUCUAGGAGAGUGGACAAAGCUGUCAGAAAGCAGAAGCAAAGAAAAAGUAAUAAGAUGAAAAUGGAGGCCACUAAAGAACAAUCCAUGAAUCACACAUCUGUUACAAGGAGGAAGAAAAGGAGAGAAAGAGCCCAUCAAUAUCUCUGCUCUUAAAUGUCCAGUGACUUGAGAAUAAGAAAGAUUUAUAGUCCAACCUUUGAUGCCAUUUUCUGAAAGUGCCACACCGGACUUAAAUUCUGUCGCUUUCAGAGAUCAACUUUUUUGGACUUAACUUCCCCGGAACAGAUUAGAAGCUUUGCUGGUGGCAGUGGCCUGCGGACACCACGGUGUGCAUUCACUGGCUCCAUCCCAGCGCUGUGCCCCACACCCAGCGAUGUCAGAGACAACCAGCUGCUGCACGUGUGACAAAGCCUCCCCACACCCCUGGGAAGCGAGCAGCCAGGCUACACAUUUCCUCCCCCACCAAGUGGUAGCUGCUCAUGAAUACGGAUUGAGCGACUGGAAAUGCCAUGUAAUACACUUACUGCUUGGUGCCUCAGAACCCUAACUGAGCUACUUGAGCAAGACACUAAUACGCCUAGAGCUGCCUAGGUAAGGAAAGCUUGCACAAAAUGCAAAGAAAAUCCAAUUUCACCUAUUUGAUGCAAUUCUGAUUGGAACAUUAGGACAUGGGAUCAGUUACUCAAGGGUCAGCUAAGAAGGUCAUUGCAAUAAACUGAAGAUAAGAUCUCUACAAUUUGAUUUCAGGUGACUCAGUAUAAAUGUUCACUCAGCACGACUGAGGGGGGAAAGCACCCAAAGUGAGCAAGCAGAUCUCGGAGCUCCGCGGGGGGAGUUUCAUCCCGUUCGCGACAGUAACAAGAUUCUCACACGCUUUAGCCGCUUCAUAGCACUGCAGACUAGAAGCAUCACAUCUGGUGGGCUCUAAGAAGACUAAGCCUGAGAAGACGGACCAGUUUCUUCGCCUGUGACUGUAGGGGUGAGGAGUAGGGGAAGCCAGGGAAAUCAGACAACAUUUUAUAUGCUUCACGAAGACAAAAAGAGACAAAGGGCUUGCCUGUUAGCUUUACAGCUAAUACAUGAGCCAGGUAAAUCCAAGAAAUUGAAAAGAAGCAUCUCCAAUCCUGCCACCCAGAGACAACUACUGCCACGACGUCUGUGUCUGUUCUUCCAAAGAUAGAUUUUUGUAUAAAUAGCUACACAGACAGACUAAAGUUUCCCCCACGAAAAUGGGAGUUGGGAAUACACACUAUUUUUGUAAUCCUC